ACGUAGGGUGCGAGCGUUGUCCGGAAUUAUUGGGCGUAAAGAGCUCGUAGGCGGUCUGUCGCGUCGAAUGUGAAAACCCGGGGCUCAACUCCGGGCUUGCAUUCGAUACGGGCAGGCUAGAGUUCGGUAGGGGAGUCUGGAAUUCCUGGUGUAGCGGUGAAAUGCGCAGAUAUCAGGAGGAACACCGGUGGCGAAGGCGGGACUCUGGACUGCAACUGACACUGAGGAACGAAAGCCAGGGGAGCAAACAGGA
rnacentral:rRNA from 1 species